CCAUCCUUCCCCCUUUCCCACACCACUCUUGCUUUUGUAAUCUUAUUACACUAUCUCUUUCCCUCUCUUUUAUUGUAGGCCUUAACUGCUUCCAUCAUGUACGCUUAGUUUAUUUCACUUAAUAAAUAAAACAGAUAACUUGCUAUUUUUUUCUUAAAAAAAAAAAUUAAACAAAGGUAACUAAGCAACACAUAACACAU
rnacentral:lncRNA from 1 species